rfam:Paraburkholderia tropica strain P-31 P31_contig_106, whole genome shotgun sequence.
AAUGCGCGGGUCUUAGGGGAGUAGUCUGCUUUGCGCGCGACGCGCGAAGCGCCGCCGUCAACAUAAUUGGCACCCAAUGCCAUGGCGCCGGCAGCCGUUCUUCGGCCUGACGAGACCUAUGACGUCUUCCUCCGCACCCGGGCUGGGCGGGAGGAUUGCGUCAUUGGUCCCAAACGUCCGGCCCGU